UUCCCAACACUGUAUGGUACACAGUUUCAAAAUAUUAAACAAUUGGAAUACGGGAAAAAGUUUGAAUCCGAAGCACUAAUACUAGCUUCCAAUAUAUUAAAAAAAAAUAUAGAUUCUUGAGGAUUUUUGUGGAUCACGAAAUACCAUUUCUUGGAGCUUCACCGGAUGGUGUAAUUGAAAAUAAAGCUCUUGUGGAAAUUAAAUGUCCUUAUGCUUUUAAAAAUACAAGCAAUAUAAAAGAAGCCAUAGACAAUAAACAACUCCUUUAUGUAGAAUUAGUAAAUGGAAAAAUGUCCCUAAAAAAGGACAGUUAUUAUUUCUACCAGGUCAUGGGACAACUUAGAAUUUGUCAAAAACAAAUUUGUUAUUUUUUUGUUUAUACACCAAACUGGAUACAAUAUGAAUGUAUAAAUUACGAUAAAAAGUUUUGGCGGACAGAAAUGGAAAAUAAACUAACACUGUUUUACAGAGAAUGUUUGCUUCCAGAAAUCGUAGAUCCUCAGUUUGGGAAAAGAUUAUUAAAAAGUGAUAUACAUGAACCAAUUCACAUACAAAAAUGUAUUGACGAC